AAUUCAAUCACAUUUCCCAUAGCUAAUAACAGACUGAGGUUUAAAGGUCACACAAGAUGAUGUUUUACUGAAGUCAGGGUGCAAAUUAUUACGCUUGAACCCU